CACGGAGGCCCCGAGCGUUGUUCGGAUUUACUGGGCGUAAAGAGUACGUAGGCGGCUGGGUAAGUCAGAUGUGAAAGCCCGGGGCUCAACCCCGGAACUGCAUCCGAUACUGCCUGGCUGGAGGGUUGGAGAGGAAGCUGGAAUUCACGGUGUAGCAGUGAAAUGCGUGGAUAUCGUGAGGAAGACCAAAGGCGAAGGCAGGCUUCUGGACAACUCCUGACGCUGAGGUACGAAGGCCAGGGUAGCGAAAAGG
rnacentral:rRNA from 1 species